rnacentral:rRNA from 1 species
AAUGAACGUUGGCGGCAUGGAUUAGGCAUGCAAGUCGAGCGAGAAGUGUAGCAAUACACGGAAAGCGGCGGAAGGGAGAGUAAUACGUGGGAAUCUGCCCUUAGACCUGGGAUAGCAGCGGGAAACUGCUGGUAAUACCAGAUAAUGUCUAUGGACCAAAGGUGUGAUUCCGUCUAGGGAUGAGCCGACGUCCUAUUAGCUAGUUGGUAGGGUAAUGGCCUACCAAGGGGAUGAUGGGUAGCGGGUGUGAGAGCAUGACCCGCCUCACUGGUGAUGAGACACUGCCCAGACACCUACGGGUGGCUGCAGUCGAGAAUCUUCGGCAAUGGGCGAAAGCCUGACCGAGCGGUGCCGCGUGCGGGAUGAAGGCCUUCGGGUUGUAAACCGCUGUCGAGGGGGAGCAACUUCCAUAGAGUUAUCUUUAUGGAUUGAGUGAUCCCUGGAGGAAGGACGGGCUAAGUUCGUGCCAGCCGCCGCCGUAAUAC